UACGGGGGGGGCAAGCGUUGUUCGGAAUUACUGGGCGUAAAGGGCUCGUAGGUGGCCAACUAAGUCAGACGUGAAAUCCCUCGGCUUAACCGGGGAACUGCGUCUGAUACUGGAUGGCUAGAGAUUGGGAGAGGGAUGCGGAAUUCCAGGUGUAGCGGUGAAAUGCGUAGAUAUCAGGAGGAACACCGGUGGCGAAGGCGGCCAACUGGACGAAUACUGACGCUGAGACUCGAAAGCGUGGGGAGCAAACAGG
rnacentral:rRNA from 1 species